AUCAAAUCUUCGGGCCCCACGGUGGGCGCCAAAAUGUUUCGGAUGUAGGUCCCGAAGUAAACUCGAACUCAAUGAUCUCCCCUCACUCCUGAACGGGUGCGACCUGCACGUUAGCACUCCGACGCUCAAGUUAGCAAGGUCACAGUAAUAUUCAAGGUGAAAGUAAUUAGAUCAAAAUUGGCCUACCUGACCAAUCCUUUCUGUAUUUAUAAGCCACAGAGUAACCCUGAACUGCAACUUAUCCGCAACCAUCAAUCCACAAUCCCGGAUAUUUCGCCCACUAAGUGUAACUGUCUCGCAUGUAUCCGAAAUUAUCGUCUCCAAGAUCUGCCUACUACUCCACGUUGGAUCCUUUCUCUUUUCUUUGAUAGCCUACAACCUCAAUCUUCCACCUGAUCUGUCCACUAACUCUACCGAUCAACUUACUAAGCUAACCGAUCUUCCUCUUUAUCCAAUCGAUCUUCAUACACUACAUAUUCGCUUCUCCUUCAUAACCUGCGACCUCAACCUUUCACCCGAUCUAUCCCGUAACUGUACCGAUCAACUUUCUAAGCCAAUCGAUCUUCCUCUUUAUCCAAUCGAUCUUCAUACACUACAGUUGGGUUAGAUUUAUUUUCUCUCUGGAUAUGACUCUUAUGGUGUUUUCUGGGCGUAGGUUGAAGAGAUGAACAGAGGUGUUGAGUGCCAUGGGGAAUUAGAGAGCUCAUGUUGCUCGGUGGCUUCGAAGCGGAGAGACAGAAAAGGAAUUUUCACAGCUUUACUAUGCAGGUCGUGCUCAUGGAAAGGGGAUGAAGGUAUGAUUGUGAUAUGGAUAUUGAGAAGCCAAUGCAACAAAAAAAUGAAAAUACCAAUGCAAAAAUGUUGAGUAAAUGAUACUAGCAAGCAUCAAUUAUAGCAAGUCAUUGAUUCAUACUCAAGAUCAAAUAGACUAGCUAAGCUCGGAUAGAAAACUCACCUUGAGGAACUGAUUUUUUUUUUUUUUUUGGUUUUCUUUCUACGAUUGUGGAUUCGGAUGACUUUCUUUGCUCUUGUAGAUGAAUGGCAGCUGCCGCCACAGAGGAUGGAUGAUGGUUGAAGAUGAAGGUGAAUAGAGGUUGCCUUUUUUACCGAGGGUAGUGAGGUGUUAGAUGCGACCAGUGGAAGCAAGAAGAUCAAGUUGAAGUUGGAUGGGAGAAAAAUGGGUUUCCUGGUGAUGUGCCUGAUGGAUGAAAAAAACGACUUUCUAUUGAGUGAAUCUUGGAAUCCAUGGUAGAGCGAGAGUAUGCGUGAAUGAUGAUGCUGUGAUGGUCAAGUGAUGUAGGUGUCGGACCCUCGAGCUUUCGCUUCCUCUUUGUAUUUUCUGCAGAUUCUCUGUAACCGUUUUGGUCUUAUCCAUAUCUUCUGCUAACAAACUCCUUCCUUUUUCGUCACAUUUCAAACCUUUCUUUUCCUUUUUU
rnacentral:lncRNA from 1 species